ACGCUCGACACCUACGGGGGGCAGCAGUCGGGAAUAUUGCGCAAUGGAGGAAACUCUGACGCAGUGACGCCGCGUAUAGGAAGAAGGUUUUCGGAUUGUAAACUAUUGUCGUUAGGGAAGAGAAAGGACAGUACCUAAGGAGGAAGCUCCGGCUAACUACGUGCCAGUAGCCGCGGUAAUCUGAGCGGGCUGGCAAGGC
rnacentral:rRNA from 1 species